CCUACGGGAGGCAGCAGUAGGGAAUCUUCCGCAAUGGGCGAAAGCCUGACGCAGCGACGCCGCGUGGAGGAUGACGGCCUUCGGGUCGUAAACUCCUGUCAGAGGUGAAGAAUCCCCGCAAGGGGUUGACGGUAACCUCAAAGGAAGCCCCGGCUAACUACGUGCCAGCAGCCGCGGUAAUACGUAGGGGGCAAACGUUACUCGGAAUUACUGGGCGUAAAGGGUGUGUAGGCGGCCGAGUCUGUCAAAGAUGAAAUCCCGAGGCUCAACUUCGGAAUGGUCUUUGAAACUGCUCGGCUUGAGGAUAGUGGAGGAGGAUGGAAUUCCCGGUGGAGCGGUGAAAUGCGUAGAGAUGUGGAGGAACACCAGUGGCGAAGGCGGCUCUCUGGUCUGUAACUGACGCUGAGGCGCGAAAGCGUGGGGAGCGAACAGGAUUAGAUACCCUGGUAGUCCACGCCGUAAACGAUGAGUGCUAAGUGUUAGAGGGUUUCCGCCCUUUAGUGCUGCAGCUAACGCAUUAAGCACUCCGCCUGGGGAGUACGGCCGCAAGGCUGAAACUCAAAGGAAUUGACGG
rnacentral:rRNA from 1 species